GACCUACCUUCUAAUCUAUUCUGGGUUGGGCUGUUUGGCUAUAGUGUUUACAUCAAGACGCUGAUCUAUGCGCCAAGCAUUCUCAUACAUCAGGAUUCUUGUUGCAGAUUCUGUAUCAAAACCAAAGGUAAUUUUUUGGACACCAGUAGGGCUAGAAGUUAGCCCUGCAGGCAGAGUUAUUCUGGGUUAACUCCCUUCUCUUGCCCGAGUUUGCAUCUGUUUCCUUCAUGCCCCACCCCCUCCUAGGUCAGGGUGGGGGAUGGGCAGACCACACUGCCUUCAGCUGCCUACUUAAAAACACUUCCCUCUGAGCAGAACUCCUUUCGACACAGAUAUUAUCAGCCCCGGACCCCAUCCUUCCUAGAGAAUCCUGCCAGACUCAGCAGCAUGUCUGCCAGGAUCCUCCCCACUCUUGCCAGGCUCUACCUCCUGGGCAUGUUCCUCUCCAUUCUCCCAGGUUCUGAAGCUCAGGUGCGGCUAAAGGAGACAGGAGGACAAGUGACACAUGAAGGCCAGUCUGUGACCCUGACCUGCCAGGCCUCUGGCUUUAACUUCAGGGAUUAUGCCAUGUCCUGGCACUGGAGCUCAACUGAAAGCCUCAGGGAGCUGGUGGCCAGCAUCAGCCCCAAAACUGGCAGUGACAAAGAGUACAGCUCCAGAAUUCGAGGCAGGGCUUCCAUCGAGAGGGACAAUAUAGACAGAACUGUCUCUCUGACCUUGAGCCGGCUUAAAAAGGAGGACUCAGGCACAUACUACUGUGCCAGACUCACUCUGCUAGAGUCCAAGCAGAGACCUUAACACAAACCUGGGAUACUGUGCUGUGUGGUGUUCUGUGAGUAUGUCUGUGAGGAAGGGAAGAAAUAGACUUUCCAUGCGUGCAUUUGUUCAGAGAAGGGAAGAGAAAGGCUCUAUGUACCCGUAUACAGGGAAAAGAAAAAAAUAAAUGAUGUGUGUGUGCUAAAAUAAAUGGCAGGACUUUUCUCCCAGCCUGCAAUGUUUCUUGGCCAUCUUGAGACUCCAACCAUUGUUUCAGUCUCAAUUGAUGGCCUCUACCACUGUUCCUCAUGUGCCCCACCCUGGGGCUAGGAUUCCAGG